AUUGAACGCUGGCGGCAGGCUUAACACAUGCAAGUCGAGCGGAGAGAGGUAGCUUGCUACUGAUCUUAGCGGCGGACGGGUGAGUAAUGCUUAGGAGUCUGCCUAUUAGUGGGGGACAACAUUUCGAAAGGAAUGCUAAUACCGCAUACGUCCUACGGGAGAAAGCAGGGGAUCUUCGGACCUUGCGCUAAUAGAUGAGCCUAAGUCGGAUUAGCUAGUUGGUGGGGUAAAGGCCUACCAAGGCGACGAUCUGUAGCGGGUCUGAGAGGAUGAUCCGCCACACUGGGACUGAGACACGGCCCAGACUCCUACGGGAGGCAGCAGUGGGGAAUAUUGGACAAUGGGCGCAAGCCCGAUCCAGCCAUGCCGCGUGUGUGAAGAAGGCCUUAUGGUUGUAAAGCACUUUAAGCGAGGAGGAGGCUACUUUAGUUAAUACCUAGAGAUAGUGGACGUUACUCGCAGAAUAAGCACCGGCUAACUCUGUGCCAGCCGCCGCGGUAACAC
rnacentral:rRNA from 1 species